UUUAGGAACUGCCGAAGACAGUAGGUGCCGCAAGGCAUAAGGUUAAAACGCCUACCGAGGAGUAAAGAAUUCGAUUUUGAAUGAUUUAUUUUGCCUCUCUGUCUCAGACAGAGAGGCUUUUUAUU
rnacentral:sRNA from 1 species